CGCGUUUUGCGUCGACGCAAGGCACAUUACUUGUAUAUCCUAAUUAUAUUUGCGCUAUGAGCGCGAAGCAAGAAGAUCAAAGAAUUGGUAAAGUAUAAAUCACAAUUGGCAUUAUUACGUACGUAAGCUCUUUUCUAGACACAUCGAUGGUGUGACGUCACGAAGUGGUGAUGACGCAACAGAAGAACCCACUUCGACAUGGUAUGUGACGUCACAGAGGAUCAAGCAGACUAUGGCGUAAAGCGAGAACGAAGAAAAGUCAGCGAAUAAAGCUACCGAAGAAAAGUGCAAGAUAAAGAACAAAGACGAAGACGCCGAUAAAGGAAACACGG